CGUAGGUGGCGAGCGUUGUCCGGAUUUACUGGGCGUAAAGGGCGUGCAGGCGGUUUGCUAAGUCUAGGGUGAAAGCUCCCGGCUCAACUGGGAGAGGUCCUUGGAUACUGGCAAACUCGAGGGAUGCAGAGGAAAGUGGAAUUCCCGGUGUAGUGGUGAUAUGCGUAGAUAUCGGGAGGAACACCAGUGGCGAAGGCGGCUUUCUGGGCAUUACCUGACGCUGAGACGCGAAAGCGUGGGGAGCGAACCGGAUU
rnacentral:rRNA from 1 species